AGCAUGUUAGCUCAGGGGGAGAGCGCGUAAGAAAUCACGUGACCCAAUAUAUAUUGAUCAAAUUCACUAACAUUACAAUAGCGGGCUCAUAACCCGGAGGUCCCUGGAUCGAAACCAGGACAUGCUA